GCCUUCGUAGCUCAGACUAGUAAAACUAGGAGCAAUAGGUAGAGCAACUGACUGUUAAUCAGGAGGUCGGGAGUUCGAGUCUCCCCGAAGGCG
rnacentral:tRNA from 1 species